rnacentral:misc_RNA from 1 species
ACACUUAGGUACUUACUACAACCGAUCAAAAACUUCGUGAUAGUAUAUAAUAGCAGUGUAAGUGUUAAAGGAUAUACAUGUUGUUGAUUACUAAACCAGAUAUAAUAUUGUUAGGUUGUAACAAAUGCAACUUAAAUGCUGAUCUCAAAACAGGAUAUUGUGAUUGAUACCGAGUUGAUACAUAUUCUCGUUUAGAUGAAAUUGAUAUCGUGAAUCAUAAACAUCAUAUCGUUGUCCGAAGAUUUUACAAAAUUAUGUGAAAAUAUGAAAUGGCUAAUAAUCUAUAUUUGAGACUACUGUGGAUACUAUUAUCUAUUUACAAAUCUUCAGCAGUUAUCGAGGGAGACUCUUUUGACUGCGAUUUUGAGGAUGGGUUUUGUAACUGGAAACAGGACAAAAUGGAUGACUUUGAUUGGACUAGGCUGUCAGGAGAAACGCAGACAUUCGAGACAGGACCAAAUUCUGAUCACACAUCAGGAGAGGGCUUUUACGUGUAUAUUGAAACAACACGAAAUGAUGUUGCUAACAACACGGCUCGACUGAUCAGCCCACAGAAGGAUCCUGGACAAUACUGUUUCUCAUUCUGGUACCAUAUGUAUGGCAAUCAUAUCAAUAGACUCAGUGUAUCAAAAAAGGAAGGCACAGAUACAAAAGAAUUAUUCUUGAAAACAGGAAAUCAGGGAAAACAGUGGAUAUUAGGAAAAAUACGGUUUGUGGCUGAAGACAGCUUUCAGAUUGUUAUUGAGGGAAAAGGAAGAAAUUACGUAGAAUCAUGGUCUGGUGAUAUAGCAGUUGACGACAUAGUACUAUUACCUAUUGAAAAAUGUCAAAUAGCCAUCGAUAGGGACUCUUUUGACUGCAGUUUUGAUGAUGGGUUUUGUAACUGGGAACAGGACGUAACUGAUGACUUUGAUUGGAAAAGGCGUUCGGGAUCUACCAAGACAAAAGGAACCGGACCAGAGUUUGAUCACACAUCAGGCGAGGGCUUUUACGUCUACAUUGAAACAACACCAAGGGAUAACAGCCUUAGCAAAAUGGAUAAUUAUGAGGCAAGACUGAUCAGUCCACACAAAGAUCCUGGGCAAUACUGCUUCGCAUUCUGGUACCAUAUGUAUGGCAGUCAUAUCAAUAGACUCAGAGUAUCAAAAAAGGAAGGCAAAGAUAUAAAUGAAUUAUUUUCGAAAACGGGAGACCAGGGGAAUCAGUGGAUAUUAGGACAAAUACAGUUUGUGACAAAAGAAAGCUUUCAGAUUGUUAUUGAGGGAAAAACAAGAAAUCACAAGUUGACUUGGUUUGGUGACAUAGCAAUUGACGAUAUUGUAAUGUUUCCCACUGAAAAAUGUCCAACAGAUUGUAGCGAUCAUAUUCCAGAAGGUGGUGUUGCCAAUCCAAUAAACAACGAAGUCGGAUCUGGUGUGCAAGUAACAUCAUGCAAAGCUGGUUAUAAAAUUUCAUCAGCAGUUAUUUGUUUCUUAAAUGGUUCCUGGAUUAAUAGGCCAUUAUGCCAACCAAUAGAUUGCAUGAUGCCGACCUUCAGCAGUGGAAUAAUUGUAAAUACGUUAGAAGACACUACAUACAACAUGACAGCAAUAUUGUCUUGUGCAGUUGGCUUUACGUUGAUUGGCAAUGCAUAUGUGACGUGUCAGGCGGAUGGGAACUGGACAACGCAACCGUACUGCUUCAUAAACAAUCCUGAAGGCCCUGAAGGCAAUGCUCUGGUCGCGGUUUAUGUAACGGUUCCACUAGUUAUAGCUGUUCUUGCCAUCAUGUUAACACUCGUUGUUUGCAGCUAUAACAUUGAAACUACGGAAUAGAAUUUAAUGAAACUCGGAGUUAUGACAGACAGGUUGGAGGCAAGGGCCGCUCAGAAGUGGGAACCUUCCAUCGCAGUUUUGCUGCUGAUUUAAUAUUGUUGAAGCAAUCAUUAACAACAAUAAAAGGACAAAAAGAAAAGGCCACUGAAAUGCUUUAAAGCAUCAAGAGCCCAACAAGGAGAAAACGUGAAUCCUGUCAUCCAAGAAACCAUGGAAACCAAUAACGUGGUGAAUGAAUAUGA